rnacentral:rRNA from 1 species
AAUCAACGCUGGCGGCGUGCCUAACACAUGCAAGUCGAACGCGGUUUCCCCGCAAGGGGAAACUGAGUGGCGAACGGGUGAGUAACACGUGGGUAACCUACCUUCGAGUGGGGGAUAACGUCCCGAAAGGGACGCUAAUACCGCAUAACAUCCUGCCUUUGAAUAGGCGGAGAUCAAAGCCGGGGAUCGUAAGACCUGGCGCUUGAUGAGGGGCCCGCGUCCGAUUAGCUAGUUGGUGAGGUAAUGGCUCACCAAGGCGACGAUCCGUAGCUGGUCUGAGAGGACGACCAGCCACAUUGGGACUGAGACACGGCCCAAACUCCUACGGGAGGCAGCAGUGGGGAAUAUUGGACAAUGGGGGAAACCCUGAUCCAGCGACGCCGCGUGUGUGAAGAAGGCCUGCGGGUUGUAAAGCACUUUUAGUGGGGAUGAAAAGCUCAGGGCUAAUACUCCUGGGUCUUGACCUAACCCACAGAAAAAGCACCGGCUAACUCUGUGCCAGCAGCCGCGGUAAUACAGAGGGUGCAAGCGUUAAUCGGAAUUACUGGGCGUAAAGCGUGCGUAGACGGUUAUGUAAGUUAGGUGUGAAAGCCCCGGGCUCAACCUGGGAAUUGCAUUUAAGACUGCAUAGCUAGGGUGCGGAAGAGGGAAGCGGAAUUUCCGGUGUAGCGGUGAAAUGCGUAGAUAUCGGAAGGAACAUCAGUGGCGAAAGCGGCUUCCUGGUCC